AAAUUGAAGAGUUUGAUCAUGGCUCAGAUUGAACGCUGGCGGCAGGCCUAACACAUGCAAGUCGAACGGUAACAGGAAGCAGCUUGCUGCUUUGCUGACGAGUGGCGGACGGGUGAGUAAUGUCUGGGAAACUGCCUGAUGGAGGGGGAUAACUACUGGAAACGGUGGCUAAUACCGCAUAACGUCGCAAGACCAAAGAGGGGGACCUUCGGGCCUCUUGCCAUCAGAUGUGCCCAGAUGGGAUUAGCUGGUUGGUGAGGUAACGGCUCACCAAGGCGACGAUCCCUAGCUGGUCUGAGAGGAUGACCAGCCACACUGGAACUGAGACACGGUCCAGACUCCUACGGGAGGCAGCAGUGGGGAAUAUUGCACAAUGGGCGCAAGCCUGAUGCAGCCAUGCCGCGUGUAUGAAGAAGGCCUUCGGGUUGUAAAGUACUUUCAGCGGGGAGGAAGGUGUUGUGGUUAAUAACCGCAGCAAUUGACGUUACCCGCAGAAGAAGCACCGGCUAACUCCGUGCCAGCAGCCGCGGUAAUACGGAGGGUGCAAGCGUUAAUCGGAAUUACUGGGCGUAAAGCGCACGCAGGCGGUCUGUCAAGUCGGAUGUGAAAUCCCCGGGCUCAACCUGGGAACUGCAUUCGAAACUGGCAGGCUUGAGUCUUGUAGAGGGGGGUAGAAUUCCAGGUGUAGCGGUGAAAUGCGUAGAGAUCUGGAGGAAUACCGGUGGCGAAGGCGGCCCCCUGGACAAAGACUGACGCUCAGGUGCGAAAGCGUGGGGAGCAAACAGGAUUAGAUACCCUGGUAGUCCACGCCGUAAACGAUGUCUACUUGGAGGUUGUGCCCUUGAGGCGUGGCUUCCGGAGCUAACGCGUUAAGUAGACCGCCUGGGGAGUACGGCCGCAAGGUUAAAACUCAAAUGAAUUGACGGGGGCCCGCACAAGCGGUGGAGCAUGUGGUUUAAUUCGAUGCAACGCGAAGAACCUUACCUGGUCUUGACAUCCACGGAAGUUUUCAGAGAUGAGAAUGUGCCUUCGGGAACCGUGAGACAGGUGCUGCAUGGCUGUCGUCAGCUCGUGUUGUGAAAUGUUGGGUUAAGUCCCGCAACGAGCGCAACCCUUAUCCUUUGUUGCCAGCGGUUAGGCCGGGAACUCAAAGGAGACUGCCAGUGAUAAACUGGAGGAAGGUGGGGAUGACGUCAAGUCAUCAUGGCCCUUACGACCAGGGCUACACACGUGCUACAAUGGCGCAUACAAAGAGAAGCGACCUCGCGAGAGCAAGCGGACCUCAUAAAGUGCGUCGUAGUCCGGAUUGGAGUCUGCAACUCGACUCCAUGAAGUCGGAAUCGCUAGUAAUCGUGGAUCAGAAUGCCACGGUGAAUACGUUCCCGGGCCUUGUACACACCGCCCGUCACACCAUGGGAGUGGGUUGCAAAAGAAGUAGGUAGCUUAACCUUCGGGAGGGCGCUUACCACUUUGUGAUUCAUGACUGGGGUGAAGUCGUAACAAGGUAACCGUAGGGGAACCUGCGGUUGGAUCACCUCCUUACCUUAAAGAAGC
rnacentral:rRNA from 1 species